GAGGUCUAAAACUACCUUAAAGGGCAAU
rnacentral:piRNA from 1 species